UGCGUGUGCGUGUGCGUGUGCGUGUGCGUGUGUGCGUGUGUGUGUAUGCCUGCCCUGGAACUCAUUAGGUUAGCUAGGCAAGCCAGUCAAUGUCCCAAAGCCACACGUUUCCACCUCAUAAGCACUGGGACUACCUGCUACCACUCUUGGAUUUUGUUAGAUGGGUUCUGGAGAUCAAACUCAGGCCUACAAACUUACAAGGGAAACGCAAAGCAGAACAUGGUCACCUUGUACCCAGAGCCUACCCAUCACUCUCCAGGGCCUCACAGGCAGAGGAGAGAAUCCUGCUCAUGAAGUUAACAGAUGAAGAUAAUAUCACUGUGCCCGUGUGCCUUCCUCCUUACACCUUUGAGUUAAACAUGGAUUUACUCAAUCCAAUGUGAGCAGUCCAAGGAACAAAAGAAAAUGAUAGAUACACUGCAACUAUAUAUUAUGAAGACAAUUCUCUUUGCCGGGACAUAGAUCACUCCUGUAAUUACCCUUUAAGUGUCCAGAUUGUCAUGUGAAGAAUAUUGAGUGCA